GCCAUGACCCUGGUGGAGUCCGGGGGUGACCUCAAGGCCCCGGGGGAGUCCCUGCGGCUCCUCUGCCACGGCUCCGGCUUCACCUUCGGCAGCAGCAGGAUGCAGUGGGUGCGCCAGAGCCCCGGGAAGGGGCUGGAAUGGGUCGCUGGGAUCAGUGCUGGUGGUGGUGGCACCGACUACGCGCCGUCGGUGCAGGGCCGGUUCACCAUCGCCAGGGACAACGGGCAGAGCUCGGUGACGCUGCAGAUGAACAACCUCAGGGAGGAGGAUUCCGCCACCUAUUUCUGCACCAAAAGUGGUGAUGAUGGUGCUUAUGGUGCAAAUCGUAUCGACGCCCUUGGCGGGGCCCCCACCUGUGCCCAAACCCCAGACCCUCCCCCCAAACCUCCACCCUUCCAACUCGGAUCUCAACCACUGACCCCAGACCUCACCCAUUGA